GGCAACAGCUCAAAUUUGAAAUCUGGUCCCCAGGGCCCGAGUUGUAAUUUGCAGAGGAUGCUUUUGGUGAGGUGCCUUCCGAGUUCCCUGGAACGGGACGCCAUAGAGGGUGAGAGCCCCGUCUGGUUGGAUACCGAGCCUCUGUAAAGCUCCUUCGACGAGUCGAGUAGUUUGGGAAUGCUGCUCUAAAUGGGAGGUAUAUGUCUUCUAAAGCUAAAUAUUGGCCAGAGACCGAUAGCGCACAAGUAGAGUGAUCGAAAGAUGAAAAGCACUUUGAAAAGAGGGUUAAAUAGUACGUGAAAUUGUUGAAAGGGAAGCACUUAUGACCAGACUUGGCCCCGGUGAAUCAUCCAGCGGUUCCCGCUGGUGCACUUUGCCGGGGUUCAGGCCAGCAUCAGUUCGCUCCGGGGGAUAAAGGCUUUGGGAAUGUGGCUCCCUCGGGAGUGUUAUAGCCCAUUGCGUAAUACCCUGUGGCGGGCUGAGGUUCGCGCUUUAUGCAAGGAUGCUGGCAUAAUGNNCAUCAGUGACCCGUCUUGAAACACGGACCAAGGAGUCGUCUUCGUAUGCGAGUGUUCGGGUGUUAAACCCCUACGCGUAAUGAAAGUGAACGCAGGUGAGAGCCCUCCAGGGCGCAUCAUCGACCGAUCCUGAUGUUCUCGGAUGGAUUUGAGUAAGAGCAUACGGGGCC
rnacentral:rRNA from 1 species